UUCACUGCCAGACCUCUAGUGGAGACCAUCUUUGAGAGGGGCAUGGCCACCUGCUUGGCCUACGGACAGACAGGAAGCGGAAAAACACAUACUAUGGGCGGAGAUUUCUCUGGAAAGAACCAAGACUGCUGGAAAGGAAUUUAUGCAUUAGCUGGAUGUAUUUGUCAUUUUGAAGAAACCCAAUUACAAGAAUUUAGAUCUACAAGUGUAUGCAGCCUUCUUUCAAAUCUACAAUGAAAAGGCAAGUGUAAUCAUCUCGUGAUUGGUGUGACCAUAUUUCAUGUGUGAUCAACACUAACCGACGCUGACUGUAUUGUGUGUGUGCUGACAGGUGUUUGACCUCCUGAAUCGUAAAUCCAAGCUGAGGGUGCUGGAGGAUGGGAAGCAGCAGAUGCAGGUUGUGGGGCUUCAGGAGAAGGAGGUCAAGUGCACAGAAAAUGUCCUGAAACUCAUUGAAGUGGGCAACAG